CCACGCACACAUCCUCUCCUCUCCUCUCCGCCCCCCAAAGCAAAAGCAACCCAGGCCCGAGUCCCCCCAAAUUUCCCUUUUCUUCCCCGGCGACGUCCCCACGCCGGCAGCCCCCGCCCAGAUCGGCGUGCCCCGCGCCGCCACGCUGCCCCUCCCGUGCCCCGCGCCAGCUCCCCGCUCCCUCGUACCGUCGCCCGCGCCGGACCCUCGCCAUUCCGCGCCGCGAGCAUUAUGAAAAUGGAUGAUCAGCAUGUUGCAUGCCCCUCUAAAUGUGCUUCAUCAAUUUGUGAAAACAGUUUUUCCAUUCCAAACAAUCAUGAGAUCUGUCCUAGAGGUAAGCCGCUUAAGAGGCUGAAGCAAAGUACGGUGACAUGAAACAUUAUGCCACAAACAUCGUGGGAACCUAGGAGUUAUAACAAGCUUCGACCACAAGGCUUUUUGUAACUCCUGUGCAUGGAUCUCCAAAGUAAUUUGAUGACACUGGAAUGCUGCAGCUGCUCACCCCGAUACAGGCCUAACAAUAUCAGCAAAACAUAAGAAUCAGCUGACAUAUUGAG